rnacentral:rRNA from 1 species
CCGUAAAAUGAAAAGUGGCGAACGGGUGAGUAACACGUGGGUAAGCUGCCCAUCAGAAGGGGAUAACACUUGGAAACAGGUGCUAAUACCGUAUAACAAUCGAAACCGCAUGGUUUUGAUUUGAAAGGCGCUUUCGGGUGUCGCUGAUGGAUGGACCCGCGGUGCAUUAGCUAGUUGGUGAGGUAACGGCUCACCAAGGCCACGAUGCAUAGCCGACCUGAGAGGGUGAUCGGCCACAUUGGGACUGAGACACGGCCCAAACUCCUACGGGAGGCAGCAGUAGGGAAUCUUCGGCAAUGGACGAAAGUCUGACCGAGCAACGCCGCGUGAGUGAAGAAGGUUUUCGGAUCGUAAAACUCUGUUGUUAGAGAAGAACAAGGAUGAGAGUAACUGUUCAUCCCUUGACGGUAUCUAACCAGAAAGCCACGGCUAACUACGUGCCAGCAGCCGCGGUAAUACGUAGGUGGCAAGCGUUGUCCGGAUUUAUUGGGCGUAAAGCGAGCGCAGGCGGUUUCUUAAGUCUGAUGUGAAAGCCCCCGGCUCAACCGGGGAGGGUCAUUGGAAACUGGGAGACUUGAGUGCAGAAGAGGAGAGUGGAAUUCCAUGUGUAGCGGUGAAAUGCGUAGAUAUAUGGAGGAACACCAGUGGCGAAGGCGGCUCUCUGGUCUGUAACUGACGCUGAGGCUCGAAAGCGUGGGGAGCAAACAGGAUUAGAUACCCUGGUAGUCCACGCCGUAAACGAUGAGUGCUAAGUGUUGGAGGGUUUCCGCCCUUCAGUGCUGCAGCUAACGCAUUAAGCACUCCGCCUGGGGAGUACGACCGCAAGGUUGAAACUCAAAGGAAUUGACGGGGGCCCGCACAAGCGGUGGAGCAUGUGGUUUAAUUCGAAGCAACGCGAAGAACCUUACCAGGUCUUGACAUCCUUUGACCACUCUAGAGAUAGAGCUUCCCCUUCGGGGGCAAAGUGACAGGUGGUGCAUGGUUGUCGUCAGCUCGUGUCGUGAGAUGUUGGGUUAAGUCCCGCAACGAGCGCAACCCUUAUUGUUAGUUGCCAUCAUUCAGUUGGGCACUCUAGCAAGACUGCCGGUGACAAACCGGAGGAAGGUGGGGAUGACGUCAAAUCAUCAUGCCCCUUAUGACCUGGGCUACACACGUGCUACAAUGGGAAGUACAACGAGUUGCGAAGUCGCGAGGCUAAGCUAAUCUCUUAAAGCUUCUCUCAGUUCGGAUUGCAGGCUGCAACUCGCCUGCAUGAAGCCGGAAUCGCUAGUAAUCGCGGAUCAGCAC